UGUCAAGGGAUGGGAAUUGAACCCACGACCUUCCGCUUAUCGGGCAGAUGCCAUGACCACUAGGCUACCCUGGAC
rnacentral:tRNA from 1 species